rnacentral:rRNA from 1 species
UUGAUCCUGGCUCAGGACGAACGCUGGCGGCGUGCCUAAGCUUAUGCAAGUCGAACGCGAACGGCUCCUUCGGGAGCCUAGUAGAGUGGCAAACGGGUGAGUAACGCGUGGGUAACGUACCCUGAUCCUGGGAAUAACCCUCGGAAACGAGGGCUAAUACCGAAUGUGGCGAACGACCGGUUGGUCGCUCGCUAAAGGUGGCCUCUUCUAUGCUGCCGGGUUGGGAUCGGCCCGCGUCCCAUUAGCUAGUUGGUGAGGUAACGGCUCACCAAGGCCACGAUGGGUAGCCGGCCUGAGAGGGUGUACGGCCACACUGGCACUGAGACAAGGGCCAGUCCCCUAUGGGAGGCGCAGGCGGGAAUAGUUCACAAUGGGCGAAAGCCUGAUGACGCGACGCCGCGUGAGCGAAGAAGACCUUCGGGUUGUAAAGCUCUGUCAGGAGGGAAGAAGGCUCUACGGGUCAAUAGCCCGUGGGAUUGACGGUACCUCCAGAGGAAGCCCCGGCUAAAUACGUGCCAGCAGCCGCGGUAAUACGUAUGGGGCAAGCGUUGUCCGGAUUUACUGGGCGUAAAGGGCGCGUAGGCGGUUUGUUAAGUCGAAGGUGAAAUCCUCGGGCUCAACUCGAGAAUUGCCUUCGAUACUGGCAAACUAGAGUGGCGGAGAGGAAAGCGGAACUCUUGGUGUAACGGUGGAAUGUGUAGAUAUCAAGAGGAACACCGGUGGCGAAGGCGGCUUUCUGGACGCACACUGACGCUCAGGCGCGAAAGCGUGGGUAGCAAACAGGAUUAGAUACCCCUGGUAGUCCACGCCAUAAACGAUGGGUACUAGGUG